rnacentral:rRNA from 1 species
UACAGAGGGUGCAAGCGUUAAUCGGAAUUACUGGGCGUAAAGGGCGCGUAGGCGGAUAAUUAAGUUAGGUGUGAAAUCCCUGGGCUUAACCUGGGAACUGCAUUUAAUACUGGUUAUCUAGAGUAGAGUAGAGGGAAGUGGAAUUUCCGGUGUAGCGGUGAAAUGCGUAGAUAUCGGAAAGAACAUCAGUGGCGAAGGCGGCUUUCUGGACUCAUACUGACGCUGAGGAGCGAAAGCGUGGGGAGCGAACAGG